rnacentral:misc_RNA from 1 species
GCUCAGGCGGGGGGCGGCAUUUUUGUCGGCGGAAGAUCCAAUACCAUUUCUGGGUUUGAAUUUAGCUUCCCAAUUGGGGAGAUCCCAUUUGAGAGACUUUAAUUGAUCUGGGGAUUGGAGUAGGAGUUGAGUGAAUUUAGAUGUGGCGGAGUCUUUGGAGAGUGGGGACUUUAUUAUGGUAAUGUGUGAAGAGUUUUGAAGCUUGGGUUUCUUUUUUCUUCCAAUUGGGGUGUUUUGAAUCGAUUAGAUUGAUGGGUAUUUGUACUAGAUGCAUAUAGAUUGAGACUCUGGGAUUGAAUCUUGAACUUAAUUUGGGUAUUUUGGUUUCUGGGUGUUGGAUUUUCUGAUCCGGCAUUGAUUAAACUCAGGGGAAAUUUGGACGAACUGCUUAGCGGUGGAUCUUGGAUUAGGAGGGGAAAUUGUGUGUGUGUGUGUGUAAGAUGCAACGGGGAGAUCGAGAUGUGCAGGAUUGAGAGGAAUAAGUGGACAUUGAAGAGCUCUAUGGUGAUGGGAUUGAAGGCAUUGGGAGAGAGCAAAGUUGAGAAGCUGAAGAGUUCAAUGGUGUCUCCAAGGUCGAAGAUGAAGCUAUGGAUGAUCCGUGCAAUGACGUCUAUUUUGCUUUGGACUUGCAUCGUG